AACCCCAUCCAUCAUUCAAUCCCAAGUAAACCAGCAAGAAAUCCGCAACUAUCUAUGGAAACCUUGUAUCUCUACCUUCCACUUUUCCUAGCAUUAUACAUCUUCACCAAGCACUUCCUCAACAAAAUCCGAAACCUUCCACCUAGUCCCAUCCUUAAUCUCCCCGUCCUCGGCCACCUCCUCCUCAUCAAGAAGCCUCUUCACCGAGGCCUAGCCAAGAUUUCCGACCGUCAUGGCCCGGUCCUCCUCCUGGAAUUCGGCUCACGCCCAGUCCUCCUUGUCUCCUCCGCUUCUGCAGCCGAAGAAUGCCUCAACAAGCACGACAUCGUUUUCGCCAACCGCCCGCGUCUGCUGGCUGGAAAACAUCUGGGAUACAAUUAUACCUCAAUGGCAUGGACGUCCUACGGGGAUCACUGGAGAAAUCUACGGCGGAUAGCUUCACUGGAGAUCUUGUCUUCCCACAGGCUUCAAACGCUUCACGGGAUACGUGUUGAUGAAGUAAAAUUGAUGCUGAAAAGGCUGUUUUCAGCUUCAGAAAACAAGAAAAGCGUGGAUAUGAGGGCCCUUUUCUUUGAGCUGAUGUUGAACGUGAUGAUGAGGAUGAUUGCUGGGAAGAGGUAUUAUGGGGAGAAUGUUGGGGAAGUUGAGGAGGCUAGGAGGUUUAGGGAGAUUGUAGAGGAGACGAUGAUAAUUGGUGGAGCUUCGAAUAUGGGAGAUUUCUGGCCGGUUUUGAGGUGGUUAAAAGUGGGAAAGAAGGAGAAGGCCUUGAGGGUUUUGCAGGAGAAUAGGGAUCAAUUCGUGCAGGAGUUGAUCAAGGGGUUUAGGAGUGCAAAAGAUGCAGAAAAUGGUGGCGGCGAUGCAGAGGAAACAGGGGAAAAGAAGAAAACGUUGAUUGAAGUUUUGUUGACCCUGCAACAGAAGGAGCCUGAGUAUUACAAGGAUGAAAUCAUUAGAAGCCUUAUGCUGGUAUGGUUACUCUGAUAAAUUUCUUUCUGGCUCUUCUUCUUCUUAUUAAUGUAGCUAAUUUGUUAUCAUUUCUAUGUUCCCUAGAAAAUGUCAAACUUCGAUUAAGGACAAAUUAAUAGAAAUUGAAAGUAAUUCGAAGAUUAAGUGACUAAAUCUAGAUGGCCAAAAUUUGCUUUCUUUGAGUAUAAAAUAUAAGCUUACUUCAGUUGUCGUACAGUAAUUCGAUUGCUUCCAUUAUUGUGCAAAGUUAUGAUGAAUAAGAAAAAUUCACUGGUACAGUUCAAGAAUAGAGUUGACCGCACGGUGUGAACAGGAGUAGAUCCCAACGUAUUGGGCGGGGGGCCCACUUUUCUUCGGUGUUGGCAUUUGACAGUGAAGCAGAAAGAAAGUAUGAUGUCUAGCCAACCGAUGUCUAAAGUUGGUUGACUAGAUUUUAGAAGCAAAUGUCACUGAUCAUGCUCUUCAUUCUACCGUUUACCACUUUCUUCUUCUUUUCUCAAGUGCAUUUCACCAUUGACCGCUUUCGUAUUGCAGGUUUUACUAGCAGCAGGUACCGAUACAUCAGUGGGAACAAUGGAGUGGGCAUUGUCACUAAUGCUAAACAAUCCAUCAACUUUGGAGAAGGCAAAAGCAGAAAUUGACAGAAUCAUAGGAAAAGAACGUUUAUUAGAUGAAUCAGAUGUGGCUAAUCUACCCUAUCUCCGGUGCAUAAUUAGUGAAACAUUGAGGAUGUUUCCAGCAGGGCCUAUAAUGCUACCCCACGAAUCCUCCGAGGAAUGUGUGGUUGGGGGUUACCGUGUGCCUGGGGGGACAAUGUUGAUUGUCAAUUUGUGGGCUAUCCAAAAUGAUUCCAAGAAUUGGGAGGAUCCAAGAAAAUUCAAGCCUGAAAGAUUUGAAGGGCUUGAAGGGACCAGAGAUGGCUACAAAUUAAUGCCAUUUGGUUCUGGUAGAAGAGGUUGUCCUGGGGAGGGAUUGGCCAUGCGCAUGGUUGGAUUUGCUUUGGGAUCAAUUAUUCAGUGCUUUGAUUGGAGCAGAAUCAGUGAGGAGAUGGUAGAUUUGGCUGAGGGGCCUGGACUGACUCUGCCUAAGGCUCAACACUUAGUCGCCAAUUGUCGAGCACGACCUGGAAUCAUGAGCCUUCUUUCUCAAAUUUAGACUGCGACGAGGAUGUAUCUUGACUCUUGAGAAAGGGUGGGCAGUAUUUGCCUCGUCUCUUCUUCUUGUUUGAAGAAAAAAUAUGUACUAGUAAAAAAAAAAAAGUCUUGUUUUAUAUAUUUCACUUGUUUCUUUAAGGGAAAAAAUGACGGAGUAAUUUACUUUAUAGUAGUUGCUAUUUGAUGACGCUAAUUUUUGAAUUUCCUUGUUUUAAGUUGGAAUUUUCACAGCACAAUAAUUAUACCUUGCAACUCCUAACUGAAAACAACUCAAACCAUAUAUUUAUUCAUUCUCCUAAUGUCCACACUAAGCAAUAUCUUAGUUGGCAACUUCUUGAUCCGAAAGUUUUCUUUAGUGUUGAUAAUCAAUGAGAGAUAAAAAAAAAUGAGUAUCUAAAAAUAUAAAGGUCUAUCUAUUUGGACAACCGUUCUUAAGACAUAUUUCAGAUAAAAAAAUACAAGAUUAAUUAGAAUAAAUAAAUAUAAAGAGGGGCAGGAAAGAUUAAAUAGACAAACAUAUAUAAGUACAAGGAAGGAUAAUAAUUGUAGUAAAUGUGUGUGUAUAUAUAUAUAUAUAAUAAAUUAGAUAAAUUUUAAAUGUAUUAACGAGUGUCUAGUAAACACCCGAAAAAAUCCAAAAUAUGACGAUUUUUUUCCGUAAGAAAACUCGAAUAUGAGACGUCUCAGUUGCACUUCGUCCCUAGAAACGCCCAACCAAUAUCCCUUCCCUUCUAAAGGCCGCUGCCGCUAGUGCUGAUGACCAGGGCAUGGUCGAUAUGAAAUCAGCCUUCUUCGAACUCACACUGAACAUUAUGAUUAGGAUGAUUGCUGGAAAACGGUAUUCUGGUGAUGGCUCAGGAAAAAUAGGGGGAGUCGCGAGCUUUCAAGAGAUGGUUAAAGAGAGUGUUAAAGUCAGCGGAUCAACAAAUGCUGCAGAUUUUGUUCCGCUACUGAGGUGGAUAGGGCAAAAUAAGCUUGAAAGUCAUCUGAAAACGUUGCAGAUGAAGAGGGAAAAGUUCCUACAAGAUUUGAUUGAAAAGCACGGAAGCAUCACCAGUCAUCGUGAGAACAAGACACUGAUUGAUGUUCUCUUAUCUCACCCAGAGACAGAACCAGAGUACCAUACGGAUCAAAUCAUCAGAGGCUUGGUUCAGGUGAGUCAAGUUUUAAGGAGAAUAGUAGAUCGGUCCCUCGAAAGUGCCAACAUUCCAUAAAAUCAAGUAUAUUAACAACCUAAGAGAAUCCACCUCAAGCGCUAGCUAGCUGUCAUACUUGAAGGGUAGGAUCAUAAGUUCAUAGCAUUAACUUCCCUGCUUUUUCAGCUUUUAACAAUCAGUCAAGAUAACUCAAAAGCAUGUAUCAUGUGUUAUCCGGUAUUGAUAGAGAUAAUAAAUCAAAUUUCGUCUAAUCUUAAUAGCUGAUAAUGUUAUCGGCGGGAAGUGACGCAACAUCUGGAACUAUGGAAUGGGCACUGUCAGUUCUGCGGAACAACCCAGAGGCUUUAAAGAAAGCACAAGAAGAAAUAGACUUUCAAAUAGGCCAAUCAAGGCUGAUAACUGACUCCGACCUUGGCCAGCUUCCUUACCUUCAAGCAAUAAUAAACGAAACCUUUCGUAUGUAUCCUGUGUCCCCUUUUAUCUCCCUGCAUGAAUCAUCCGAAGAAUGUACAGUUGAAGGCUUUGGUAUCCCUCGUGGGACAUUGCUCCUAGUGAACCUUUGGGCUAUUAAUUAUGAUCCUGAAAUAUGGGAAGAACCCACAAAAUUCAAACCUGAAAGGUUCAUGAACUUGGAAGAUCAGAGAUAGAGAUUCGAGUUUAUGCCAUUCGGGCUUGGCCGAAGAGGAUGUCCUGGAGAAAAUUUUGCUCGACGAGUUGUGGGGUUGGCAUUGGGUUCACUUAUUCAAUGCUUUGAGUGGGAAAGACCUGGGGAAGAAUUGGUGGACAUGAGUGAAGGAGCUGGGCAUACUAUGCCUAGAGCUCAACCGCUGCUGGCAAAGUAUAGGCCACCCCCUGAAAUGGUUAAGCUUCUUUGAGUUGUGAUCUGAGUGUUUGACAAUGUUUUCUUCCUACAACACCUAGACGACUGUGGAGAAACAAGUGAACAAGAAAACAGAGGAUGUCUCUCUGUACGUGUUUGUUUUAACUUUUAAUACUACUAUUUUAUCUCUUUCAACUUCGCUUUGUGUUGCUGCAAGAAAGUAUAAAAAAGCAAAGGGUUUACUCUAGUUUCUUGCUUUCUCCAAAGAUCCAGCAUUUUCAUGUGUGUUUCUAUUAUUUGUUAACCAAUGGUUCAGAAUUCAAUCGACGGAGAAGCAAAAUUUUGCCAAGCAUGAGAAAUUCCCAAAAUUCUGAUCAAAUUUAAAUUAUUUGUAAGAUGCUUUUGGUUGCAUGUUGUACUUUAGAGGGUCCUCACGUUCUGUAAUUUAGAGCUUUCUUGCAUUCUAUAACUGCGAGGUAAGGUAAGCAAAAUUUAAAUUGCCCCCAGGGCAUAUGGCGUAGCGGUUGAGGGGUCGGUCUUGAGUUGUUGACUUCUUCACUGAUUGGGGUUCGAUUUGUACCCGCUACGCUGCACAUCCUGACUCACCCGGGAAAACUGUAUGGAGCUAUCGGCUUCCCUCCAAUUUGGUAUGCCGGCUCGGGUCCAAAGGGUUCGGAUCGGGGCAUGUUCCGAAUUACCAAAAAAAAACUUAAAUUUUGAUCAAGUUUAUCUGCUUUGGAAAAACCCCAUUCAACAGGAGGUUGCCCACUGCAAAAAAGCACCCCUAUUGUACAAUUUUUCAAACAUCAUCAAAAUCUUGUUUUUGAGGUUUCAAAGCCGCUAAAUUGAACAUUAGCUCUGAAUCGGAUAAUUAUGUUCAAUGGUGAUGUUUUGCUGAUAAUUACUCUUUAGUUAGUCCAGUGCGCAUGUACGCAUAGUCCAUUCGAUGCCCGUGGGAAACAGGUGUUACAAGGUCCAUGCAUUUUUCAACCAAAGAUAAGUCAAAGAGCGAAUUGCGCGAAAUGUCACUAAACUAUUUCAAAGUGCCGGUUCUGAUCAUUAAACUUUUUUAUUAGCGCGAAAUGUCACUGAACUAGUAAAUCUAUACCGUUUUGGUCACUCCGUGUAUUUGUGCCGUUAGGAGAGACGGAAAUUAACUUUUUGAGGGGUAAUUUCGUCUACACAAUAGUUAAAAAAUUUAUGCCUUCAUUCUUCUUCACCCACAACCAUAGUGCUAUACCAUAUUUACAUUCCCAGCCUUCCCGUACGCAUCAAUCAUCACAGAAUAGGUAACCUCAUCCGGUUCACACCCAAAAGACGGCAUUUUUUCGAACCACUGGACGGCUUUCUCAGGUAAAGAAGACAGCCUGGCGCAGCUAAUUAUGGUGGAAAGGAGGAGUAUUGGACCAGCAAUCAAAGAAUCAAGAGAUGAAUUCGCUGAAGAAGGGUUCUUUUCGUCCUCUGGGGCUGCUGCUUGGCCUUGUACCUGUCCCAUAUCUCAUCGAGAUUGGAUGCUACGGAGAUGAAGUAAGAGGAAAAGGCAACAGCAGCAACCAAAAAAUUGGGAUGGACGAGAAUUUUGAAGUUGGAGUUGGGGUUGGGUGCUAUCUGCAACCCAUGUAAAGUUGUGGAGUGAUUUGCGAUUAAUCUGUUAAAUGUUAUUGUGCCAACUGCCAACAGAAUUGGAAUGGACAUCAAAGUCCAGUGUAGGCCGACGACGGACGGAGCUCUCUAUGCCCACCCACUUCUGCAACAAAACCACCGAACUUUACAUUUAAUUUCUCAUUCUUUUCACUCUUUCCGCAUCGUCAUUUUCGCCACUCCCAACCCCAGAGGUAUGUAAAGGUGACAUUAUCGGGCUUAACUCCUCUCUCAAUCAUAUCCGUAAACAAUUUCUCGGCUCUGUCCAAGUCUCUACAUUUUCUAAACACCUUGAAGGUAACAUUAUACAAAAUCACUUCUUUCUUCAACUUAAGCCUUUCCAGAAAGUAACUCAGCACCAAAGGCGCAGUUUCAGAGUUGGACAUGUUAUUGAGCACAACGGCAGCAUCUUGCUCUACAACUUUGCCACCCAAAUUAGCCAAAAUACUAAUAACGUCAGCUUCUACAGGGUCACACGAGUCCAAUUGUUGGGAAGCUUGGACUAAAGAAGCAUACCUGAAAUCGUAGGAAUUGCGCCUGAGCUUUGAUGCCCUGGAGCUGUUGGGGUUGACCCAGAUAUAGCUUUUUGAGGAAGAAGAGAUGGUUUUAGCAUCUGGGCGGUGAGGAAUUUGGGAAAUUGAGGGGGAUUGUUGUUGGGAAGCCGGUAUAGAGAGGGAAGGUUUUGGAUGGGGCUUGAGAGGAGGAAAAGCGAGGGCGUUAUGGGGGAUGAUUCUGAGUUGGUGGAGGUGAGUGGGAUAAAGAGAGUUACAGAAGAGGUGUGGGUGGCGAGAGAGAUGAGACGGCGAAUAGGCGGCGGCCACCAUUCUUCUCUCUACUCUUCUUCCUUCCUUCUCAGUCGUCACUCACUCAGCAGAGCAGUCAGCAGCAUUUGAAUUUUCUUCUUUUUUACAACUAUGAAAAAUUUCGCCUGCAUUUUUUGGUUGAAGUUUGAUGGUGCCGCCAUUCAGAUCAGCCAUCUCCUUUAUGUCUUUGCCGGAUACGGAACCAUUGAUUAUGUAAAAGCUUCAAGAAAAAGGCUGUGCUGACAAAUUUGCCCCUCAAAAAGUUGAUUUCCGUCUCUCCUAACGGCACAAAUACACGGAGUGACUAAAACGGUAUAGAUUUACUAGUUCAGUGACAUUUCGCGCUAAUAAAAAAGUUUAGUGACCAGAACCGGCACUUUGAAAUAGCUUAGUGACAUUUCGCGCAAUUCGCUCUAAGUCAAAAAAAUAUUUGUCUGCGGAGCGGAACUCCAUUUUCAUAUAAAAAAAAAUGCUGAAAGUCGCCAUAUCUGUUUCAGUACUACCACUCUACCAGUUCCAUCUGACAGCUCACGACCGCAAGGGGGGGAAAAAAGACAAAUAAAAACAAGGAUCUAUGUCAAUCGCAUGUUAUAUGAAAUCUUAACACAAGAUUUAAGAUUGCAAGAUAUCAGCUGAUACAAGGUGGCCUAAGCUGAAGGCGUCUUGCUCCCUAGAAGCUAUAUCACUGAAACAGCAGGGAAUUGUUUAGAAUAUUACAUUGGAUAAGCAUUUUUUUUUUUUUUUGGUAAAUAAAGAUGCAUUAAAAAUAAAUCAAGUCAACAGAGUGCAAAUUAAGGUACAGUCAUCCGUGGGGUGGAAACCCCCUUUAAGUCUUGCAAAAGUAAGGGAAGUACAAAAUUAGGACAUAAUUCAAAAAAAGUGAAGUCUUGAGUGUUGCUUCUUCCCCAGUUGGCAAGGAUGUCUGCACAUUUGUUUGCUUCUCUAUAAUUAUGGUGAAAACAUACUUUCUGGAAUGUAGUCAAUAGCUCCCUGCAAUCAAGAAUAAUAGGUGCAAGUUCAUGAGAAAUAAGAUUAUUUGACUUACACAAGGAGAAUAUAAAGGCAGAGUCCAUCUCCACUUCGAGAGAGUGGAUGUUGAGUUUUUUUGCAAGUUGUAAGCCUUCUCUAAGAGCCCAACAUUCAGCAGAAGGAACUGAACAGAAGCCUAAAUUUCUUGCAAAGCCCGCAAUCCAUAUCCCAUUUGAGUCACGAAUAAUGCCGCCAGCUCCUGCCUGGUUUGUUGGUCCAGAGACUGAACCAUCAGUGUUGAGCUUGGCGAAACCUAUAGCAGGGGGGAUCCAUCUGAUGAAUUUUUCUUGUCUAGGGGAUCUGGAGAAGUGAGAACCAGGCCCUAGUAGGCUUCUGUUCCAGAUGCACGCCUCCGAGCAAGGAUGUAAAUGAAUCUAACCAAACUGAACACCCUAGUAUUCAAGUUUAUUUGAUUAUUUUAACAAGUUUGUAAUUUUAUUCAAAUUUAAUUUAUUUAUUUAUCGAACCAAGUUUGUUUGAUUAUUUUACCGAAUUUGAACGAGCUAUUUAUUGAAGAGUGUGUUUGGAUAGGAGAUUAUUUGAAAUAUUAUUUAGAAUAAUUACUGUAGCACUUUUUGUAAUGUAAUGUAUGUAAAAUAAAAAGAUGAUUGAGAAGAUAAAAAGAUGUGUUGGAAAUUGUAUUUGUGAUGUAAGCAAAUAAUUUCUAGCCAUUAUUUGGCUAUCCAAACACACUGAAUAUAAAACGAUAUUCAAUCUUAAUUUGACUAGUUAGCAAAUCAAACUCGAAUGAACUCAAACCAAACUGAACUCGAUUCAAAUAUCAAGUAGAUUGAUUUAUCUUUCAACAUUUCGGAGUUGUUAUCCAUGUGUUUGAGAAUGUCAUCCUCCUGUAUUGUGUUUUGGUUUUUCAAGUCCCGAACGAUGUUUUUUUGUUGCAGCAAAGGAGGAAAGUUUUAGAGAGCUUAGGAUAUUACAAUAAAAUAGCAGUCAGGAGUAGCGAAGGAGGAAACAUAUGAUUCAGCCGAAAGGGGAACGAAAAGAAGAAGAAGAAGAAGAAGAAGAAGAGGAGAAGUUAUGGUUUUAAUUUAUUUGAAGAAUUGCCAUAUAUAUAUAUAUAUAUAUAUAUAUGUAUUUUAGGUAAAAGAAGAUUAUAUACUAGUAGUAGUUUGGAAAAAUAAGGAAUGCGAUCAUAAUAAGUAAAUGCAAAAAAGUUUGCCGUAAACUCCUUUGAGUGUUUGUAGUUGUCAAAGCUCUUUGUCAGGCUGCCCCCAGUGGUUCGAAAAUGUGCUGAGGACCUCUUUUGAACUAAUUUGUUACAUGGAUGGAAACCAUACGCACACCAAAAGAUUAGAAAUUUUCAUGCUAUCCCUUGUUUCUACAUUUAAUAAUAAUAAUAAAAAAAAGUGGAUGAGGCGUUGAUCUACAAAGUUGAGGUUUUAGAAUUUGGAGAUCUUGAAUUCAAUACUUAUCAAAGUGUGAGUCUCUAAACUUUGUGUUAGUAUUUAUCCCACCAUAUGUAUGUAGAUUAGUUGUAGUUCGAAAUAUUUGUAAUCUCUUAUAUUAGUCCUAUAGUUGUAGAUUAUACACGAUAUUAUCGAAGAAAAUAUUUAAAGAAGAAAAAAAAUGCAAUCUUAGUGCCCGAUAUGUAAAAUUGGUAACCACGAAACAAAUCUUGAUGAAUCCACGAAAUUCACCAUGAUCCCAAUAUAUGGGAAGAACCCACGAAAUUUAAGCCUGAAACGUUUGGGGGAUUCGUGUUUAUGGCAUUUGGGUAUGGUCAAAGAGCAUGUCUUGGUGAAAAUUUAGCUAGACAAGUUGUGAGGUUGGCAUUGGGCUCACUCAUUCAAUGCCUUAAUUGGGAAAGAAUUGGUGGAAAUGAGCGAAGGAGCUGGGUUUACUAUGCCAAGAGUUCAACCGCUGCUGGCAAAGUACAGGCCGCGCCCAGAAAUGGCUUCUUUCUGAGUUGUGAUCCUGGUGUUUUGGGAAUGUUCUUUGCCACCUGCACCACUGGGGAAUCGACUGUACGAGGAAAACAGAGGAUUUCCCACUGUAGUGCGUGCGUACCACGUUGGCUUACCACUACUUUUUAUAUUUUACCUUCACUUGGUCCAUAAUUUUUGCAGCUCAAGGAUGUGAAAAAGUCCGUGCCGUCCUGAUUCCAUUGUAAUGUAAGCUGGUCAAAGCUACAAGCCGGUUAUAUACGACGCUACUCCAAGAAAGGAGAAAAAUAUAAGCAAAGCAAGGAGGCCGUAAAGGAUGGAUAUCAGUAGCAGAUCAUUGACAGAUAAGAUACUAAUAUUCAAGAAUGAGAGGGCCGUAUCCCUUACGUCAAAGGAGUUUUGAAUCUUGAUUACUGAUACAUUCUUGAAAUAACAAUAAUGAAUUACUAGAUAAAAUAGGCAUACGGCAUAAGUAUCAUUCCAACACUUUGGAUUUAACCUCGAUCUCUAUGGAUGCUUCAUACUGCUACCUCCUGCUUUUUCCCUUCCUGUAUUUACUUACCAAUCAAAUCAUCAAAAAGUUCCGGAAUCUCCCACCAAGUCCACCUCUUUCCUUACCCAUAAUUGGCCAUCUUCAUCUCAUCCAGAAACCACUCCACCGAGGACUAGCUAAGAUCUCCGAUAAAUAUGGUCCAAUACAGUUUCUUCAUUUUGGUUCUCGGCCUGUCCUGCUUGUAUCUUCACCCUCAGCUGCAGAAGAAUGCUUCACCAAGAAUGACAUAAUCUUCGCUAAUCGGCCAAGAUUUCUCGCCGGAAAACACCUUGGCUACAACUAUACAACUCUGGGAUGGGUCUCAUAUGGCCAACACUGGCGCAACUUGAGAAGAAUAGCUACUGUGGAGAUCUUAUCUGCUACCCGAAUUCAAGCUUACACGAGCAUCCGUGUUAACGAGGUCCAUUCAUUGAUCAAGUACCUUCUAAUGGCCUCUAAAGCUAGUGACUCUAGCACGGUUGAGAUGAAAUCGGCCUUCUUUGGGCUGACACUUAACAUCAUGAUGAGGAUGAUUGCAGGAAAGCGAUACUACGGCGAUGAUGCCCAGAACAAGGAGGAAGCCGCAAGGUUCAAAGAGAUAGUUAAAGAGACUUUUCAACUCAGUGGGGCGACAAACAUAGCAGAUUAUAUUCCAUUAUUGAAGUUUUUUGGGCAACAGAAGCUUGAAAGCAAGCUGAAGACUUUGCAGGCGAAGAGGGAUCAAUUCUUGCAAGAUUUGAUUGAAGAACACAGAAGAACCGUGAGGAGUUCCGACAGUGAGAAGGGCAACAAAACAAUGAUAGACGUUCUCUUGUCCCUCCAACAGACCGAGUCCGAAUACUACACAGAUGAGAUCGUCAAAGGUAUGAUUGUGGUAAGUAACUAUUUAAUCCUCUCGAUAUCUUAAUCCAUCCGUCUGUUAAGCAUACAGAAAUUCUGAUCUUUGUCUGGGAUCAGUCCCAUGAAGGAUUGAGUCUGAAAAUCUAAGUCAAAGCUAGUUUGAUUGCACUAGUACCAUCUCCGUGUUGCCUUGCAUUUUUUAUUGAGCUGUAAUGCUAUGUUUCCUACACGUAACAAUUCUAGGGAUAAUUUCAGAAACCUCCCCUGAGAUUUCUAACAGUUUCACUGCCCUUCUCCGAGGUUUCUAAAAUAUCAGAAACCUCCCCUACUAGGUCAUUGGGGUCCAAUUGUCACAUCAAUCAUGGAAGAAUGACUUAAUUACCCAUACAACUUAAGAGGUAUUUCCCAAUUAUGUUCACAUGAUUAGUUAAACUGUUAUUAACUAGAUUUAACAGAAAUGAUGACAAUUUAUAAGUUUUUUUAAAAAAUUUCUAACAUGCCAUUACAAAAAGGGGGCCAUAUAUAGGCACCUUUCUAUGAUUGAUAAUUGAUGUAUGCGAGUAGAAGCAAUGAUUCAAACUUUAGUGUUUUUUGUGGAAUAAGAGAAAUAGAGCUUCUUUAGGUAUAUCUAAGGAUUUAGGAGAUUUGAAAAGGAGAUUUGCUCUUAAAUUUUUUUCAAAAUUUUGGUGAUUGUGAAAAUUUCAAGAUCAGCCUCUAAGAUUUUUCUGCUAUUAAAUUUUGGAAAUUUUUAUUAUUUGAUUGCAGUUGUUAAGGUAAUUCUUGAUGGUGAUGCUUAAUAGUGACCCUACAAGUGAAAAAGAAUAGUUUGGAUCAAACAAAAAAAGGAAAAUAUGAUUUUAUGUAGUUUGUAUUAUGUUCGGUAUGAUCUGCUCCAUUUGAUGAUUGGUAUUUAAUUAUAGUGUUUUUUCUUUUUUAUCCUAAUUAUUACUUUUAUUGUCAUCGAAAUUAGGUGCUGGUUUUGUAUGAAAUAUACGUAAAGAUUGUUGGUUGUAUGCUACUAAAUUGAAAAACCUUUUAAUUAUGACAAUUUUUUUCUUGUUUGUGAUUAUUCAACAAAUGUUUUUUUUUAAAUCGAAAUGUUGGUUGUAAUAGGAUUCACAUGCUUUGUUUCUCUUGUAGGAGAUUAUGCAAUUGAUGUGUUAUAAUAGAUGUAAUAGUAUGAUAUUACACAUGCAAUAUGUAGAUAAGAUUUUGAGUUGCUAAACUUGUUGUAGAGUUAGUAAAUUGAUAUUUUGUUUACGCUCUAUGAAUACGGUAACAAUUACACCGUCUCAAAUUUGAUAAAGUUAAAAUAGAUAUAUAUUGUUCGUAGGAAAUUAACUAUCUAAUGCAAAACUUGAGGGUAGUUAUGGAAUUUGACAGGUGCCGAACUUGUGCAAUAAUAAUUACUAAAAAGUCCUAAUUACCAUCACAAUUAAUUAUAGAACGAAUUCAAGUACUGGAGCAGGACCCUAGGUGAGCAAUGGGUUACUUGAUUCACCAUGUUCCCAAAGAGUUUGCUUGAUCCGAUAUACCAGAAUUGUCUAUAAAAAUACUAAGUUUGCAUACAAUGGCAAGUAGGGUCGAUUCCACAAGGAACGGGUAGGAAGUUGUUUCCUUCCAAGUCAAUAGAAUAAAAAAGAGGGACAAUUAAUGGGAUGAAACUAAAAAUAAAAUAAAUAAAAUUCAAGAGCUAACUCAACAACAAUUUAGUAAAAAUAGCAAUUAAUAAAAUUCUACCCAAAUGAUUAACUGCUCAGGCACGGUCCAAUUAAAUGAUCAUCGAUGCAAAGAUAUUUCAUUCAUCUGUCAUUAGGUUGGUUAUAGCUAUCAACAAGCUUUGACAACCAGUUCUUCCUUACUUUUUCGACAGUCAAGGUACGACCAUUGACUGUUUCUCUAACCAGAAAACAACUCUAGGUACGACCGUAAGAAUUUAAUUAUCCAAUUGGAUUAAAACUAGAAGAACCCAACCCUGAUCAAUAAGCACGCUAAGAGGGUUUAUUUAAAUCAGAUCUUACGUUUCUCCAACAUAAAGCCAAUUAUGGUGGUUGUUACUAGUUGUCAACUAAACGAAUAAUUACGGAUUCAAUUUAAUUAACGUGGCAGUAGGCUAUUAUGUUAAAUCAAAUACCCGACCGUUGAUAUCCAAUUAAUAAAAUACUCAUGAACAAUUAAUUCAGGAAACGUACGAAUAGCAAUAAGUUGGAAGAAAUAAUGAAAAUUCGAUUAGAUGUUACAGAUAUUAUGAACCGUGCUUUCGCGUCGACCUUCGGGUAGAGGAGAAAUCUAGCCGCUCCUUAUCAUAUCCAUCUCGCGUGAUUUAAUUGAAACCAUUCAAUUAAUUCCCGAAAAAUUGGGAAAGAUGAAACAACGAGGAAAACGAAUAAAAGGGCUUAAGUAUCUCUUGGUCUCUGUGUUUGUACUGGAGCAAGAAAGUAAAAGUAAAGCACUAGAGAAAGUCGGCUGCCAAAAGACAAGAGCCAAGCCGCCCGUAAGAAAUUGUCUAAUAGGAAGAGACAAAAGCUACAACUAUGAAGGUCGCGUGAUUCUGGCUUCUUAAUUGCUGCCGAAGAGAAAAAAAGGAAAAGAAAACGUCUGACACUAAAAAGCAAAAGCUAAUCUAAUUACAAAGACGUAAAUCUGGCUUUUUUCCUCUCUUUUGUAGCGGCGCCAGGAGAAAUCCACGAAAGGUCAGGAGCAAAGCUUUUCUUUUUGGGGUUUUAAUCCCAUGCCUCUCGUGGUUCACGUGGACCCAACCUCCUAAUUGCUCACUUUUUGCUGCCACCAAGCUCGCGGGUCCGGCUUUAGAUAUAUCUCCUCACUUUCUGGCGUGGCACGUCAUGAAACAAAGAGUCUUUUGGAAAUUUUUCUCGCGCGAUCACUUUUAACACCAAUCACCUACAAUUGAUACAAAUAUGAAAUAUGAGCAAAUUCUCAAUUCUUAGCAUCAUGAGUAGCCAAAAUUAGGACAGAAUAAUAGUGCAAAAUAUGCCCAAUAAUUGCUCUAUCAGAAUUAAAUUGUUUUCUCUCUUCUAAUACCAAUUUUAUAUUAUUUUUGUAUUUGAAUUGGGCUGAUUGUUACUAGCUAAUUAGCUUUAGGGGUGGUUUCCGAUAUUUUGAAAACCUCAGUGAGAUUGUCAAAAACCUCAGGGGAGGUUUCUGAAAUUAUCCCAUAAUUCUAUCUACGUCUAAUACUAUUUAUACUAAGAGGGUUGCUCACGAUAAAUGUUCUAACAUUAUCAUACACCUCCUCUUAUCCCUUCAUUUGUAUUUCUAUCUUAUUUACAGAAUCAAGAUAAUAGUAUAAAAAAUUCAAUCCCAUUGUACUAUUGAAUCAUGACGUGCAGGAAAAAAGGAAGAAGUAAAGAUAAAACGAAUGAGUAGCACAGUAUUCACCUUUAAUCCAUGCUUUAGACUAGCAGAAAAUAAUGCAAAUUUUGUCAACAGCAAAUGUUAUCAGCGGGAACCGACACAUCAUCCGGAACAAUGGAAUGGGCACUCUCCCUGCUGCUCAACAAUCCACAAGUUCUAAAGAAAGCCCAGCAAGAAAUUGACGCGUACGCUGGCCAAUCAAGGCUUAUCAAUGACUCGGACUUGGGUCAGCUGCCUUAUCUUCAUGCAAUUAUUAGUGAAACACUUCGCAUUUGCCCGGUGGCCCCUAUUCUGGUGCCUCAUGUGUCAUCCCAAGAGUGUUGUGUUGGAGGCUACAAUAUCCCCGGUGGCACGUUGCUGUUAGUGAACUUAUGGGCAAUGCAAAAUGAUCCCAAGGUUUGGGAAGAACCCACAAAAUUUAGGCCUGAGAGGUUUAUAAGUUUGGAAGGGCAAAGAGAUGGAUUUGUGUUCAUGCCAUUUGGGUUUGGCCGAAGGGGAUGUCCUGGCGAAAAUUUGGCCAUGAGCGUUGUGGGGUUGACAUUGGGGUUGCUUAUUCAAUGUUUUGAGUGGGAAAGAGUUGGGGAAGAGUUGGUGGAUAUGACUGAAGGGGCAGGGCUUACCAUGCCAAGGGCUAAAGAAUUGAUGGCCAAGUGUAAACCACGGCAAGAAAUGGUCAAACUUCUUUCUCAAUCGUGAUUGGGAUUUCAGAAGUUGGUACCUCUAAGAAAAAAACCCAUCGCAGUGAUGACAACAUUGUGAACAAAGUGUGCUUGUUUUGCCAUUAUUUUUGUGAUUCUAUACCUUCUUGUAUGUGGAAUAAAGGAUUUGAUUAAAAGUUUAAAAUACGGUUAGAGACACCUUAUUUUAAUUUAGUACGUUUUAUUGUAGGAAUAGAUGCAUAUGCAUACCUUUUUAUUUUGAUAGGUGAAAAUAAAACAACAAAAAAAAGACUUACAAAUAUGUUAGAUCUUCAAUGUUCAUGAAUAAAACUCUCUCUCUUUUUUUUUCACUUUUACUUCCUUUUGGAAAAGAAUUAAAACUCUUCUUUUUUUUUUUUACAGUUUUUUAUUUGUUCAUGAUGUGGGAGGUCUAUGUUCAUUUGAAAUCAAGAGCUCACCCCAACUUUUGUAGAAACUAGAGGGGAAGUUAGUGUAGUUUACCAACAAGAUACGUGUCUACUUACUUGAAUAACCAGUAAUAAGAUUUAAGGAAGAAAAACUUGGGCUACUCCAGUUAGCAAUGCCCAAGUAUCAAAAAAUGAAGAGCCCAAAUUCAUGUGAAAAUGUAUACAUGUUCUUGGUUAAUUUCACAAUAAACUUGUAAUCCUUUUUUUUGGCAAUUCAAAUUAAAUUCCAUUUUGCCUUUGGAUAUAACCAAGAGUUAUGUCCCUUUUAAUGAAUCUAGUAUAUUUUGGAGGGCUUUACUACUUCAAAUUUUUUUUUAAAAAUUUUAUCAGUAGUAAUCAUGAAAAAUAAAUCAUUUUCAACUAUGUAGUACUGAAAGAAACAUGCGACAGAAAAGAGUGGCAUCUCCAUAUAUUUUCUGAGCGUCAAAAUAAAAUUAUAAACUUUCUACCACUAACUCUUUUAUCUAAACCAUGCAAUUUUGCGUGCAUCAAAAUAGCGUAAUUAUUCAGUUUUCGUGUAAGGAAAUGAAAAUCUUAGGACUUGCUAGGAAAAACAUGGCGGUCUGGCUUCAGUGAAAUAUUUUUGCUAGAAAAUGUCGACUAACUUACCUACCUUUUAAUUCUUAUACUCUUUUCGUCCCAUUGAAAGUGUUAUACUUUUAUUUUAGAAUGUCUCAAAAUAUUUGUUCUGUUAAUAAAGUCAAAAUAUAUUUUAGUCUCUCUCUUCAACAUAGUUCAUCUCUCUAAUCAUAUACACGUUACCAUUCAAAUUCAAAUGUUGAAUUUGUAGGAAUAAAAUUGAAAAGAGAAGCACAAACAUCACAAUCAAACCACUAUUUUUAAAAAGUUUGAUUUUUGAAACAGAACCAAAUAAUUAGGACGGAAGGAGUAUAAACUAAAAUGAAAAAGGAAGUCUAGUGAUAAUUGAACCGUCAAAUAUCAUAAACCUUUUCAUAAAAUUGCUGGCUGAUCAGUAUAGCAAGUAGAUGAUGAUGCUUGUGUAGUUGCUAUCAUCCUUAGGUAUGAAAUUUUUCAUGAAGACCCCUUAGUAAUAAGUUUCUGAAUAGCUUCCCACAAAAGUUUCCGGGAGGUAAAUUAACAAUCUUUUGCAUUACUUUGGCCCCGGAGACAUGACAAUAAUAUCUUAGACGAAAGAACUUAGCCCCGACAAAUAUCAUGAACUUAUUGACAAUAGGUGGCUUAAUUUGUAAGAAAUAAAAAAUUAUUUAAAAAUAAGAAAAAAAAAUUAUUUAACGAAAUGCAAGUAACAUCUUGAACGAUUUUUCCUUAUUAACUCACAAAGUUAAGUUCCACUGUGGUACUUGCCAAUGGAACAAAGUUGACAGCAAAUCUUGUUGGUUGAAUGAGUCUCCUGACACAGCGUAUUAAGCAAUAAGCAUUCAUUGGUAUACCCAAACCUAUUACUCUGUAUAAGUGUACGUAUCAUAUUCACCCGUACCGUACGUCUCUUUCUACAUUUAGACACUCCCAUAUUUCUAUAUUAAUUUCACUUUUGCUAAAGGAUUACUGGGUAAAGUGUAAAGCACGGCAAGAAAUGGUUAAACUUCUUUCUCAAUUGUGAUUUGUGGGACUGUUUAACUGUCAAAAUUAAUGUGAAAACGUAUGAGAAAGUAGAAUCCUCGAAAUCCUUUAUUUUUUCAAAAUUUAGUUUUUUAAAUACUAAAAAUUUUUAAAAAUACUCUAAAAAGUAAUCUAAAUUUUUUUAAUGUUUAAAAAAUAUUCCAAAAUAUAUUUUAAAAACUCUACUACUCUUAAAUAUUUCAAAAUAUUUUCUAAAAAUAUUUCAAAAUAUACUCUAAAAACUCUGCUACAGUAAAGUUUUCAAAAAAUAUCUCAAAAAACAGCUAAUCCAAACGGAGUAAUUGAUAAACCCUAAGACAUUUAGAUGGUGAAGAAAAAGUAAAAUUAACACCACUCUUUUAACUGUUGGAAUACUUUCAAGGUACUAAAUUAUACCUUCUUAGUACCACUCGAAAGAAAGAAAAACAAGCCUUGGAAAGAAAUAGUAUCUAGAAUAAAUCUACUGCACAAUUUGGGAAUUAUUCAUCAUUCGAUCAAGUGAUGAAUAAAUCAUACGCAAGUUCAUGUAUUAGCAGAUUAAUUAUUGAAUCUAUUCAUAAAUCAGAGGAUUGCGACACAAGGAAACUUGCAGAAUUGGACAACUAUAUGGUCCCGAAGAAAAGAAAUUGACUUGCUUCAAGAUUUCCACAAACUUGGAGCGGGGGGCGAGUGGUGACGGACGACUAAGGAACUCAAGAAAGUUAAAAUAGCCAAUUACGCAAAGUUUUGGAUCCAUUAGUUGAUUGACUGACUUCUAUUGCUAGCCGGUCAAUGCCCCCUUUUAUAAAUCAACAAGAACUUUUCCAUGGAAAAUGUGUCUCUCAUUUUGGCCAAAAUUUCCGAAUCAAUACCUUCAGUCUCCGGUCAAAUGAAGUCGUAACUUGAUAAGCUUACAAGACUUUCGUUUUCCUUCUAGAAAAAAAAAAAGAAUAAAAUAAUUCCCUUGCCCUUCAACAACCUCAACAAUAAGGUUCACUAUGAGAGAAAUUUUUUUUCCAUCUAACACACUUACGUUACUCCUAAUUCAUUGCAUAAAUACGUACAAUCACAGUUAUUGAACUUAGUAUAUUUUAGUAAUUUUUUAAAUUAAUUAUCUUAUUUUUAAAAAAUUAAUACCUGAGACUCUUAUUAACGAGUGUCGACUGAAUACCUGAUAUCAAACCGAUCGAUGCUGUAGAUAGAGAAUGGUUGUUUGCAUGGAAACCAAAUCUUUUUUUUUUUUUUUUUAUUUGCUCCUUCCCCUCUUAUACAACCACCAUAUGUAGAAAGUUGAGUUCUUGGAAUCCUCCAGUGACACAGGUAUGCUGGUAAGCAAAGCACUUGAAUAUCUUCCAGAAGAAAGAUAUGUCGCGCAGCCUUAAUUGACGAAGUAAUCUCGUCAACUUUUUUUUUAAAAAUUUUGUACUGUAUAGAAAUUCCCCGGAGUUGGAGGGGCAGUUGCUUCUAAUCAAAAUAUGCUUCACACUUCACGCCACACGCACACGGUUAGGACCAGAAGUCUCAUAUGCCCUUUUCGGUGCAUUUCGUCUAAAUUCUUUUGUAGCGUGAGAAUUUAUUUAUUUAUUUAUUUUUUAAAAAUGGCUACCUAUUUUUAUUGCUUAAUUAACGAUGCUUUCGGUGCGUUUGAGUUUUCAAGAAAAUGAAUUUGAAGAGUAACAAACAUUAAGAUUAUUUGAAAUAUAUUAUUUUUUUUAAAAAUACUGUAUGAGAUAAAAAGUUGAUGCACUGACAGUAUAUACACUUUUAUCAUUAUUAGAUGCAUGACACAUAAUUUGAAUUUAAAUUUGAAACUCAAAUUUUGCAUAUGUGUCGUAUAUCCAACCGUAAUAGUGUAUACAUCGUUAGUAUACAUAAGAUUUACUCUUUGAAGUUUUAAUCUAUCCUUUGGUUUCCCAUUCUCGUGACAAAAGCACAGCUGCGCGAAUCAGUAAAAUUGGACGUAGUAAUUUGCUGUAAUGUGCAAAACCGAACUUACCUCCAUUUAGGGUUCUUGUCUAUAGAUUGACCAUGUGGUUCGGCAACACUUUUAGUGCAAAAAUUUUCAGCAUGCAACAGUCGUCCAUAGCUUAAGUGAGUUAGGCGCAGCACAUUGUUUGGCCCCGUUCCAUAUGACUUCAUUUCGUUGCCAACUUUUCUUGGAGGACUGGAAUCUCAUUAAAUAGAUCCAGCACGAUUGGUCCACGACAAUUAUUUGGUUCUGCUUUGCUGUCGUGAACUUGUGCAUUGAUUCUGUGCUUUAAUUUCUCUUGAUUUGUAGAAAAUUUGCUAGUUUUUAACUGCAAGAUUUUGUUACUCCGAAGAUUUUUAAUUUUUAUGCAGGAAAAAAAAACGCACUUCCAAACUCUGGGUACAAUAUUUGAAAAAAAAAAAGGGUAGAUGACAGGUAAGCUAAGUAGUGGUUUAGUGCCACUAUUGAAAUGUAAAAACCUCCAACCCUACACUUUUCCGACCCAUGCACCGCUCCCCGUGCCCGAACCCAAGAAGAUUUGUACAAGAAAACAGAAAAACUUUGGUGGGGUCUUGCUCGCACUAAUUUGUCACGAUUAAAUGUAUUCUUGUUUAAAAAAUUCAUGCAGAUGUGUAGUGCAUUCGUCUGAUCUGGUGGUGAUUUAAUCCUCUUCGAAUUAUUCUUGAACCUCUUCAGGUCCUAUUCCUCCUCCAUACUAUAGGAAGUUAUCGUAUCGAAAAAAAAAAAACAGAAAAAUCUCAACUCAUUAGCCUUAUUUAAUUUGAUUUGAAGCAUAAUUUUCUUGAAGAAGAGGGGCCGGGCCACACUGAUUGUAUUAGAGCAUCCACAAUGCUAUUACACUUUGUGGAGUGUAAUCCACAUGCCACGUCAGCAUUCCACUUUCUCCUCUUUUAUUACACUUUCACUCACAAUGGAUUACACUCCACAAGGUGUAAUAGCAUGGGUCCACAAUUAAUCAAAUAUUUAUUUUAAUAAUGCAUAACUCAUAUCCCAUAAAUAAAUAAAGUAAUUUUUAAAACUAAUUUUGUUAUUUUUAAAAAAUAAAGUACUAACUUUCGUUAAAUUUUGUACAUUUUGAAUUUUUUUAUUUUCUAAAAAUGAUAUUAUUAAUUUUUAAGUUUGAAUAAUAUAUCUUUUUCUAUGUUUCAAAAAUAAUAUAUUGUUAUUUUUUAAAAAAUAAUUAUGUAGGAAAUUAAACAAAUAUUUGAUACUUCAAAUGCGAAGAUAUCAUAAUAAUUCAUACUUAAUUAAUAAUUCGGAAUGUAAUUAGUUGAACUCCAUAACAUAAUAUUACAUAAGUUAAAUCAAAUAAAAUACAAAUAAUAACAAAAUGAAUACUAAUUUUCAUUGUCAUUGCCUUCGAAUCGUUCCCAAAUAUGCUCGACCAAGUCUGAUCGAAGUUGAUCGAAGUCUGAUCCCAAAUAUGCUUUGUGCUGGAAUUUUAUCGUUGUCAUAGGGCCCACAUUCAAUGGAUUACACGCAUCAUACAUGUGAUGCGUGUAAUCUCCAUGACACGGCUCCAGCGGUGUAAUGGCUCCCCGUUACUGAUUACACCCCCAUUGGAGCUGCCCUUAUGUAUAGUAUAGCUCGUAAUGGUUUUAAUCUACUCAUAACAAAUUCACUCUCCCAAACUCAAAAGUCAUCUUUGUAUAUAGAAUUUAGCCAACGAUUAUAAUUGCACAUUUUAAUAGGAAGUUUCAUAGGCUGGCUGUCAAUUGCAACCUUACAAGAAAACGAGAUGAAGACCACUCAGAGUCACAAGUCCAACAAUAAAUCCACUAACUCUCAUUAAUUAAACCCCAUCCAUCAUUCAAUCCCAAAUAAACCAGCAAGAAAUCCGCAACUAUCCAUGGAAGCCUUGUGUCUCUACCUUCCACUUUUCCUAGCAUUAUACAUCUUCACCAAGCACUUCCUCAACAAAAUCCGAAACCUUCCACCUAGUCCCAUCCUUAAUCUCCCCGUCCUCGGCCACCUCCUCCUCAUCAAGAAGCCUCUUCACCGAGGCCUAGCCAAGAUUUCCAACCGUCAUGGC
rnacentral:lncRNA from 1 species